UACCCAGUCAGUCUUGCUGAACUGCCGAGC
rnacentral:piRNA from 1 species